rnacentral:rRNA from 1 species
GAGAGUUAAACAGUACGUGAAAUUGUUGAAAGGGAAACGAUUGAAGCCAGUCGUACCUUCGGGUAAUCAGCCUUUCGGGUGCGAUUAUGUGGAGUGUGAGGAGCUUAAACACCUUCAUGUUUUGCAUAUUCGUACUCUUGGGUGUACUUGCCCGUGUGGUUGGUUAACAUCAAUUUUGGUGGUCAUAAAAUGACUGGGGGAAUGUAGCUUCGAUCUUGUAUUGAAGUGUUAUAGCCUUCGGUAGAUGUGAUGAUCGAGAUUGAGGAUUGCAACGGAUACCCUUCGGGGCUACCUGUCUGAUCUCUGAAACGUUGCCUUGAUGUCGAAAGCUUGCUUAUGAUGUUAGGGUAUUACGGUCAAAAGGUUAGAACGGAUUAAAUUCGUUAAGGAUGUUGACGUAAUGACUUUAAACGA